rnacentral:rRNA from 1 species
CCUACGGGAGGCAGCAGUGGGGAAUAUUGCACAAUGGGGGAAACCCUGAUGCAGCGACGCCGCGUGAGUGAAGAAGGGUUUCGGCGCGUAAAGCUCUGUCAGCGGGGAAGAAACACGGUUCGCGAGAGCCGCGGACGGUACCCGACCAAGAAGCCCCGGCUAACUACGUGCCAGCAUCCGCGGUAAUACGUAGGGGGCAAGCGUUAUCCGGAUUCACUGGGUGUAAAGGGAGCGUAGACGGCGGGACAAGUCUGGAGUGAAAGGCCGGGGCCCAACCCCGUGACUGCUCUGGAAACUGCCUGGCUGGAGUACAGGAGUGGUAAGUGGAAUUCCUAGUGGAGCGGUGAAAUGCGUAGAUAUUAGGAGGAACACCAGUGGCGAAAGCGGCUCUCUGGUCUGUAACUGACGCUGAGGUUCGAAAGCGUGGGUAGCAAACAGGAUUAGAUACCCGGGUAGUC